rnacentral:rRNA from 1 species
CAAGUCGAACGCGAAAGUUCCCUUCGGGGAGCAAGUAGAGUGGCGCACGGGUGAGUAACACGUAGGUAAUCUACCUUUGGAUGGGGAAUAACAACCGGAAACGGUUGCUAAUACCGCAUAAUGCAGCGGCACCUAAUGGUGACAGUUGUUAAAGCGGGGGAUCGAAAGACCUCGCGUCUGAAGAGGAGCCUGCGGCGGAUUAGCUAGUUGGUAAGGUAAUGGCUUACCAAGGCUAUGAUCCGUAACCGGCCUGAGAGGGCGGUCGGUCACACUGACACUGACAUACGGGUCAGACUCCUACGGGAGGCAGCAGUCGGGAAUUUUGGGCAAUGGGCGAAAGCCUGACCCAGCAACGCCGCGUGAAGGAUGAAAUCCCUCGGGAUGUAAACUUCGCAAGAACAGGAAGAAUAAGUAGGGGACAAUACCCCCUAUGAUGACGGUACUGUUUGUAAGCUCCGGCUAACUCCGUGCCAGCAGCCGCGGUAAUACGGGGGGAGCAAGCGUUGUUCGGAUUUACAGGGCGUAAAGGGCGCGUAGGCGGCGCCGCAAGUCGGUUGUGAAAUCUCUGGGCUUAACCCAGAAAGGUCAACCGAUACUGCGGGGCUAGAGUGCAGAAGGGGCAACUGGAAUUCUCGGUGUAGCGGUGAAAUGCGUAGAUAUCGAGAGGAACACCUGCGGCGAAGGCGGGUUGCUGGGCUGACACUGACGCUGAUGCGCGAAAGCUAGGGGAGCGAACGGGAUUAGAUACCCCGGUAGUCCUAGCCUUAAACGAUGAAUGCUUGGUGUCUGGGGUUUUAUAGUCCCCGGGUGCCGUCGCUAACGCUUUAAGCAUUCC